rnacentral:lncRNA from 9 species
CACAUGUUUUUCUCCUUGAAGAAGGAUGGGGGAUGGAAGAAGGGUUCCCUUCUAGAGGUGUUGACUUUUCUCUAAAGAUGAGAAUGUUUGAUCAACAGGAGCUACUUUAAAAGUCCUUCGGGAAAGCAAGCUAGCAAGUGACAGAGUCAACCUCUCAACUCUCAUCUCUACUUUUACAACGUUUCCUAUUUUAAAUAAGAUCCAAAAAUAUUGACCAAAGUUAUAAAAAGUUGCCUAAAAAGUAAGCCAGUUACAUAUUUCCAAGACACAACCUACCUUUUCAACCUUAUCACUCCUUCUGUAUAAAAAGAGAACUGAAGUAUAAUGGUCCUUGGCUUCCAUCUGGCAGUCAAUCCUCCUCAUUUCCCUCUGUGGGUAAAUUUCUAAAUAAAUGUUGAGUCUAUGCGCUUAUUUUCACCAUAAUCUGGUGUUGCUGAUGGGAUCUGGUGCAACACAGACCCUGAUGAUGGGAAGUGAGCUAUGGGAUGAGAACAAAGUAAGCCCAUGUGAAUGGAAGUGUGUACAUGUAUAACUGAAUCACUUUGUUGAACAGCAGAAACGAUCACAAUGCUGUAAAUCAAUUAUAUACUUCAAUAAACCUUUAAAAAAUGGGGAGAAAAAGAGGAAGAAAUCAAAUCAGCCCCUUCCUGGUCUAGAAUUGGGAAAAACAAAAACAAAAACAAAAACAAAACAAAACCUGUUGUUCUACUUUCACAGGCUCCUCCCUCCACCACCAAGGGGUUCCAGCCAUCGCUCCAUCCCUGAGCUGCCUUCAAUUCAGGAUGGCUUUUGUCUUUUCAGUACUGGAAGAAGCUGAAGAAGAAUGUUGAUGGCUGCUCAUCCUGGCUGCUGGCUUCCCUCCUCCCAGAGUCUGCACUCACUUCAUCAUCUUGAUCUCCAAGAAGAGUUCAUUCACACUCUGUUCCCUCUGCCCAGAAUGUUCUUUCUCCCCUUCUUCUCCUGACUUGGUCAUCUCCCAAAGGGACCUACUAAGUCAUCCACUUCUUAGGGUAGAGUAUACUCUCUUGCUGGUGGAUGACAGUUAAUGAUCUAUGUAUAUUGACUGAAUAGAGUUAACAUUGCAAAAUUUCUACACAAGAAGAAUUUGGGACUUUGUUUUCUCCUUCUCUCUCUCUCAUACUCCAGCAAGGCAGCAAUCUUACCUGACAAUAAACUUUCCUUUGGAUUUGUUCUACCAAAGUUUGGAUUGGGACACGUAGCUAGGCAAGGGAAUAGGGCAGGAAUCUGACUGUUGUCCUACAUCUAAGUCAUAACCUGCAAUCCAGCUUUUAUGAGUGAGAAAAUUGAUUAUUUUAGUCUCAUUUGCCCGACUCUUCUGUCUGCCCUAAAACUGGUUCUGAGAGUUCCCUGGUAGCUCAGGGGAUUAAGGAUCCAGGGUUGUCACUGCUGUGGCUCUGGUUACAGCAGUGGCAUGGGUUUGAUCCCUAGCCCGGGAACUUCCAUACGCCACUGGCUUGGCCAAAAAAAUUAAAAGUUUAAAAUAAAUUUUAAAAAUUAAAAAAAAAACUGGUCCUGAAUUCAAGAGCAAAGUAAAAGGGUUUCUGAAACUCCAUUAAGAUACAAUAUGAUAUGGCUGGAUUAGAGUAAAUUGGAAAUUUGUGAACCAGCUGGACUUGGGAUGGAGAUGCAACUCCAGUGCUACCUUACUGUGAAACUGUAGGUCAUCCCUCAAAACCAAUAACUAGCUCUGUGGCAGGCACUCCUCAAC